rnacentral:lncRNA from 1 species
GGUAGAUAUAACACAACCUCUCUUACUUAUUAAUUAUUAGCAUCGGAUGGAAAUAUGGAAUACCUACCUUAAUGUAUUUUCAAAAUUAAAUAUCGUUUGGGAUUAUUCCCGCCAAAUAUCAACGGAUGUAAAAUACCUAACAAAUUCCCUUUUCCUUCUUUGUGUUCGUCGAAAUGCGUAAAACCCCACAGGGUGCCGGAGCCGAAGGACCACCGAAGAGACUGACCUUCGACGAGGUACAAAGUCAGACGUACAUGGAAGUGAAGGGAUCAGGGACGGCGAACCAAUGCCCGACCAUCGACGGUGGAGUUGAUUCAUUCAAUUUCAAGGCUGGGAAGUACAACAUGAAGAAACUGUGCUUAGAGCCAACUUCCUUCACUGUUAAAGCUGAGGGUGUUGCGAAGAACUCCCCUUUAGAGUUCCAAAAGACAAAGCUCAUGACUCGAUUAACCUACACUCUAGAUGAGAUCGAGGGCCCAUUCGAGGUUUUCUCCGAUGGGAAAGUCAAAUUUGAAGAGAAGGACGGAAUUGACUAUGCUGCCGUCACAGUCCAGCUACCCGGUGGAGAACGUGUGCCAUUCCUAUUCACCGUCAAACAACUGAUCGGGUCUGGUACCCCUGAGAAAAUUGAAGGGAGUUUCCUCGUGCCAUCUUACAGAGGAUCCUCCUUCCUUGACCCCAAGGGCCGUGGUGGCUCAACUGGGUACGACAACGCAGUUGCUCUACCGGCCGGCGGGAGGGGAGACGAGGAGGGACUAGUUAAGGAGAACAUCAAGGACACCACAGCUUCCCAAGGAAAUAUUAGCCUCAAGGUUACAAAGACCAAGCCAGAGACCGGUGAGGUCAUAGGUGUGUUCGAGAGUAUUCAGCCAUCGGACACCGAUCUGGGAGCUAAGGUUCCUAAAGAUGUCAAGAUACUAGGUGUCUGGUAUGCUCAGUUGGAAUCUUGAU